rnacentral:rRNA from 1 species
GCCAUGGGAGGUAACGCCAAUACAAAAAAGAAAAAAGUUGAAGCAGAAGGAGAAGGAGAGAGCAGCACAAAGAAGCUGAAGGUCACCAUGGGGGUGGAGACCAUUGACUGCCCAAUCUGCUACGAGCCCCUCAGGCCUCCGAUAUUCCAGUGCUCCGUGGGGCAUUGUAUAUGCUCGUCUUGCCGUGAGAAGCUGGACAAGAAAUGUCCCGUGUGCUCUAUCAAAACUUCCUUCAAGCGCUGCUUUGCGAUGGAACAUGUCGCCCAAGAAGCCAAAGUUGCUUGCUCCAAUGAUAAGUAUGGCUGUGUCGAGGGGGUCAUCUACUACCAGAAAGAAGAACAUAAGAAGGCAUGCCCAAAUGCCCCGUGCUCCUGCACGGAGUCCGGUUGUGGCUUCACUGGACCAGCAAAGGUGCUCCAGGACCAUUUCAUCAUCCAGCACAAGUGUCUGUCUACAAUCCUCCCAGACUCCGGUACGGUGUCACUUCGCUUACAGCCAGGGUUACAUGUUUUGCGAUGCACCGAGACCAGCUACUUUUUCUUGCUCAACAUGUCAUCAGAGCCUCUUGGAUAUGCCAUCUCAGUCAUCUGCGUCCAACCAAACGUCACGGAACCCAAGUUCAAAUGUAAUAUGGAAUAUGACUGCAUAACGACGGGCUGUCGUGAAAGUAUAAAUUGCCACAUAAGAAGCUCUUCACUCUCUGAUGGGCUACCCAUAGUGUACGACUUAAUAAUUCCCAAGGGAAAGAUUUCCGAUGAUCAAAAUGGUAUCAUGCUCGAAGCCACCAUUCUCAGCAGAUCAUGUCUUCAAGGAAAGGGUUCGACUCCUGAUCUUCAACGAACGCCCUGUAUUAAAACUGCUAAUACUGCUACUGCUACUGCUGAUGAUGACAAUGAUGAUGACGACGACGAUGAUGACGACGAC